CCAUGUUGUGUAAGGUCACGACAUUUCUACCACUCAACCUAGGCGUAGUUUAGGCAAGUUAAUUGUGUCCGUUCUCUACAUUUAGCACAACAGACCAGUAUGCAUCGGAGGCAGAAAAUUUAUUCAAGCUCUGAAGUCCCAAACAACUGAAAAUGUUCUAAAACACCAUCACGUGACCCUGUUUAGCAGACACUACAUCUGUCUAUGAGCAAUGAACAGAAUCAUGAACAGUAGUGAACACCUCUGGCAACAUCAUGUUUUAGGAUCGAUUUCGCUACAUACAAGCUGCACCAGUGCAGAUAUCCGCUUUAAUGAUGUCAUGAACUGGACGCUGCACUCUUGAUUCCAGCACUAAUAUUGUCAUGACCAAAUGUUAAAGUUCAUAUUCAGCAAGUUGAAGAUAACUGACACCGUCUUUAAGUAUAAGUUUCACAAG